rnacentral:rRNA from 1 species
GAUGAACGCUGGCGGCGUGCUUAACACAUGCAAGUCGAACGAAGCACUUGAUUUGAUUUCUUCGGAAUGAAGAUUUUGUGACUGAGUGGCGGACGGGUGAGUAACGCGUGGGUAACCUGCCUCAUACAGGGGGAUAACAGUUGGAAACGACUGCUAAUACCGCAUAAGCGCACAGGAUUGCAUGAUCCAGUGUGAAAAACUCCGGUGGUAUGAGAUGGACCCGCGUCUGAUUAGCUUGUUGGCGGGUAAUGGCCCACCAAGGCGACGAUCAGUAGCCGACCUGAGAGGGUGACCGGCACAUUGGGACUGAGACACGGUCCAAAACUCCUACGGGAGCAGCAGUGAGGAAUA